GAUGAACGCUGGCGGCGUGCUUAACACAUGCAAGUCGAACGGAAAGGCCAGUGCUUGCACUGGUACUCGAGUGGCGAACGGGUGAGUAACACGUGGGUGAUCUGCCCUGCACUUCGGGAUAAGCCUGGGAAACUGGGUCUAAUACCGGAUAGGACAAUGGUUUGGAUGCCGUUGUGGAAAGUUUUUUCGGUGUGGGAUGAGCUCGCGGCCUAUCAGCUUGUUGGUGGGGUAAUGGCCUACCAAGGCGUCGACGGGUAGCCGGCCUGAGAGGGUGUACGGCCACAUUGGGACUGAGAUACGGCCCAGACUCCUACGGGAGGCAGCAGUGGGGAAUAUUGCACAAUGGGCGCAAGCCUGAUGCAGCGACGCCGCGUGGGGGAUGGCGGCCUUCGGGUUGUAAACUCCUGUCGCUAGGGACGAAGCGUAUUUGUGACGGUACCUGGAGAAGAAGCACCGGCUAACUACGUG
rnacentral:rRNA from 1 species